UACGUAGGGUGCGGGCGUUGUCCGGAAUUACUGGGCGUAAAGAGCUCGUAGGUGGCUUGUCGCGUUGUUCGUGAAAACUCACAGCUCAACUGUGGGCGUGCGGGCGAUACGGGCAGACUGGAGUACUGCAGGGGAGACUGGAAUUCCUGGUGUAGCGGUGGAAUGCGCAGAUAUCAGGAGGAACACCGGUGGCGAAGGCGGGUCUCUGGGCAGUAACUGACGCUGAGGAGCGAAAGCGUGGGGAGCGAACAGG
rnacentral:rRNA from 1 species